rnacentral:rRNA from 1 species
AGGGAAUCUUCCGCAAUGGACGAAAGUCUGACGGAGCAACGCCGCGUGAGUGAUGAAGGUUUUCGGAUCGUAAAACUCUGUUGUUAGGGAAGAACAAGUACCGUUCGAAUAGGGCGGUACCUUGACGGUACCUAACCCGAAAGCCACGGCUAACUACGUGCCAGCAGCAGCGGUAAUACGUAGGUGGCAAGCGUUGUCCGGAAUUAUUGGGCGUAAAGCGCGCGCAGGCGGUUUCUUAAGUCUGAUGUGAAAGCCCACGGCUCAACCGUGGAGGGUCAUUGGAAACUGGGAGACUUGAGUGCAGAAGAGGAGAGUGGAAUUCCACGUGUAGCGGUGAAAUGCGUAGAGAUGUGGAGGAACACCAGUGGCGAAGGCGACUCUCUGGGCUGUAACUGACGCUGAGGCGCGAAAGCGUGGGGAGCAAAC